UAUAAUAAUAAUGGCAGAACCAAAUAAAAUUAUUGAACAACAAUGUUUUAAACGAGUAUGGAGCAAAACAUUAAAAUCUGUCCUUAAAAAUCCAAAUAAUACUUUUAUAAUGGCUGAAACAAAAUCUGUCGAACAAGUCAAAGAUAAUACUAAGAAAAAACGAACCAGGCGACGUCGAAAGAAAAAAGUUAAACAAAACUCGUUAUGUGAAAAUUGUUGUACUGAAAAAUUAAAUAAAAUUGGCUGUCUGUUACCAACAAAUAUUGCACAAGGAACACUAUUUCUUCAUAAUUUACCUUUAAGUUGCCCCAAUACAGUAUAUUUCAAUGGACUACAUUUCACUGAUUUUAAUGCUUUUCAAUCAUUAUCAAGUGUGAAAGACACUCAUCAAUAUGCUGAUGAACAACUAAAAAAGAAUGCCAGACUACGAGAUGCUUUUGGUAUUUCUGAAUUUUUCAUCGAAGGUUCUAGUUUAGACCCAGAAAGAAAAACUAAAGAAGCAGCGCUAGCUCAGUUGAAGGCAUUGCAGGUGGAACAAACAGUUGUGCAAACACAAAUUAAUGACACUGACACUUCAGUAAACAAAGAUGGUAGCCCAAAAGUUGAACUACUCUCCAAGAGUCCAAAACAUAAGAAACAAAAGAAGAAGAAAAAGAAAAAUAAAUCAUCAAAAUCUCAUAAAACUGAUAAAGAAAAAAGUGUUGAUAAAAAGAAAUCUAAGAAGCAUAAAAAGAAACACAAUUCAUCUAAAGAGAACAGUCCAAGUGUUGAAGAACCUAAAGUUGAUAAAAAUUCUUCAAAAGUUAAAUCUAAGAAUGAUGAUGAAGAAUUGAAAAAGACCAAGACUGAGGAGAGUAAUAAAAAAGUUGUGAAAGAGUCUGAUGAAAAUCAUAAGAAAAACUUUUAUGAAAAAAGUCAUAAAAAUGAACAUAAUGAAAUAGAAAACAAAUUUAAAAGUGAUCGCGAGGAAAGCAACAAGAAAGAUUCCAAAAAAGAGCGUUAUAAAAAUUCCUAUAAGGAUAUUAAGCCUAGCGAAGAGUCAAACAAGUAUAAAUCUAAAAAUUUGUACAAUUUAAAACAUGAUACUGUACCUAAAAAUAAAACACCAGUAAAAGAUUGUGAUAGAUAUAAAGAACGAGGACAAAAUAGAUCUAAAAGUAGAACACCAGUUAAAAAUCGUGAUAAAUAUAGGGAUCAAGGUCAAGAUAGAUCUACAAGUAGAACACCGAUUAAAGAUCGUGGUAGAUAUAGAGAACGAGAGUAUGAUAAAUAUUCAUACAGACAUCAAAAAUACAAUAAUGAUAUAAAAUCAAAUAAAGACAGAGAUAAUAAUGAUAAGAAAUAUGACAGAAAUGAUAGGAAAUACAGUUCAAAAAAAAGCGUGAGCCCUAUUAAAAAAAAUAGAAAACAACCACCUGUGCUACGUGAAAGGUUAACUUGCAUUGAAUCUGACAGUGAUCAUUCCUGUUAUACACCUCCACCUAAUAUAAUGAACACUAGUAUUAAGACAAGUCAAUCCAAAGCAACCGAAGAUAAAGAAAUGAAAAGUACUAAAUACACAUUUUCGCUAAAAGAUGGCAGUGAGGAUAGUGUAGUAGUAAGUAAAUCUAAUGGACGAUCAGAAGAAUCGAAACGAACUUCUAAAAAUGAUGGUAAAACGGUGAUUAAUGACGAAAAACUUGACUCUCGUAAAACUUAUGAGAAAUUAGAUAAGAAAUCAGUAGAGUCUACUGGAGAUGGUGAUUUCGAAGAAGAUAUUGAUCUAAAUAUAAUUAAAGAAAUUACAACUGAAAAUAUAAAAAAAGUUUUUGAACUUCAUGAAAAACAAGAGCAAGCUUUGCUACAUUUAAAGAAGAAAUUGAUGGAGAAAAAAAAUAUAAAAUCGUAUUCUAGUUCAAGCGACAGUUCAGAUGAAGAGCCAAAAAAAAGUAAAGCUGUUAAAAGAACUCAUGUUAGUGAUUCUUCUUCAAGUGCCAGCGAUAUGAAGAAAAAGAAGAAAAUGGCCAAACGUUCACAGUCAAGUAGCAGCAGUAGUUCAAGUGAUUCUAGUGCCGAUCAAAAGCGCUCAACAAAACAUUUAGUAAAAUCUUCUAAGAAAAAGUCAACAGUGUUACGUGGAAGAACCAAAAGAAGUACAUCCCGGUCUCCAACUAGGUCAUCUAGCUCAAAAGAACGAUCACGAAAAAAACGGGCUUCUUCUAGUAGCGACUCCAGUCCAGAACGUAAGCGCAAAUCAUCAAAGCGCAAACAAUCAUCACGUAGGAGAAGAAGUAGUGACAGUAGUAGUUCUUCUAGUAGUAGUGAUGACUCUUGGACAUCAUACAAAAAAAAAAGGAGAAGUUAUUCUACGAGUCAUUCAACAUCUUCUAGUAGUUCAUCAAGUAGCCAAUAUUCUCGAAGUUCUAGUUCAAGUGGAGAUUCCAGCAGUAGCUCAUCAUCUAGUCGUAGUUCUUCAAAGUCUCGAUCAGCUUCUAUACCUAGACGACGGGGUUCGCCUAGUUUUAUGGAUAGAAGAAGAAUAACAAGGUAAUUUUAUCAUUUUAUGUGUGUUAUUUAUCAGUUUUAUUUUUAAUUGAAACAUUUCAAAGCUAAAUUUAAUUUGUUCAUAUUAUAUCUUAAACAAAAACUAUUAUGUUCAAUUUUUUUAUUUAUUGUUCAAUAUAAAUACUGAAACACAAUAGUAAAAUUAUGUUCCUAUCUCAUUUUAAUUAUGCUCGAAUCACAAUGUGGAUCUUGAGACUGGAACACAGGUAUCAGGCUAUCUGUUUAAGUAUUUCUUUUUUUUUUUUUUGUGUAAUUUAUGUCCAGUGUGUAUAAAAUAGCCUUUGCGUAAAUUCUAGUUGUGUCCUAAUGGGUUUUUUUUUUUUUUUUUUUAAUAAUUGAAUAAUAAGUUAAUUAUCUAAAUAUUUGAUUAUGAAUGUUUAUUUGUUAUUUAAUAAUACUUUGUAGAAAUUCCAAAAACUAAGUAUAACAUAUUUGACAACUUAUUGGCUUAUCUUAGAUUUGUUACUAUGCUUAAACGUUUUGAGAAAAGUGUGAUUGGAAUGAAAUCUCUACUAAGUAUUUUACAAUCAUUUUUUUUAGACAAACUGGUAUAGCAUUAAAAAUAUUUAUUCAUGAUUUUAGAAUAUUACACCUUAUAUAUAUAUACAUAUAUUUACGAAAAGGUUAAAAAAUGUUUGCUAAUUUUUUUUAAUGGCAAAGCUAAUCAUUUUUUGAUUUGACUAUUUUAUUAUUUAUAUUUUACUUAUGUGCUUAAAAUAUCAUAUUAUUUGUAGUAGAUUAUUUGUAUGCAUGAUUAUAUAGAUGUAUAUUUAUUAAUAAAUAUUUGAAGAAAAAAAUGUGCGAUUUUAAUUUCUUUCAACUUAUGUAAUAUGUUAUUGAAAAUCAAUAAAAUCAUAAAUGCAAAAUCGUACGAAAAAAAUGCACUAUUUACCGUUUGUGAUUACUCAACAUCUCAUCACGUUGCUCACCAGUCAUAGAAGUGCAGUAGACUUGCACUUUCACAAAGAGUUACCUACUACCUUAGAUUGUUGAAAAACUUUCAGAUAAAUCA